rnacentral:misc_RNA from 1 species
UCUCCGUAGGUGAACCUGCGGAGGGAUCAUUACAAGUGACCCCGGUCUUACCACCGGGAUGUUCAUAACCCUUUGUUGUCCGACUCUGUUGCCUCCGGGGCGACCCUGCCUUCGGGCGGGGGCUCCGGGUGGACACUUCAAACUCUUGCGUAACUUUGCAGUCUGAGUAAACUUAAUUAAUAAUUAAAACUUUUAACAACGGAUCUCUUGGUUCUG